AGCGAACGCUGGCGGCAGGCCUAACACAUGCAAGUCGAGCGCCGUAGCAAUACGGAGCGGCAGACGGGAGAGUAACACGUGGGAACGUGCCCUUCAGUUCGGAACAACCCAGGGAAACUUGGGCUAAUACCGGAUACGCCCUUACGGGGAAAGAUCUAUCGCUGAAGGAUCGGCCCGCGUCUGAUUAGCUUGUUGGUGAGGUAACGGCUCACCAAGGCUACGAUCAGUAGCUGGUCUGAGAGGAUGAUCAGCCUCACUGGGACUGAGACACGGCCCAGACUCCUACGGGAGGCAGCAGUGGGGAAUAUUGGACAAUGGGCGCAAGCUUGAUCCAGCCAUGCCGCGUGAGUGAUGAAGGCCUUAGGGUUGUAAAGCUCUUUCGGCGGGGAAGAUAAUGACGGUACCCGCAGAAGAAGCCCCGGCUAACUUCGUGCCAGCCGCCGCGGUAAGAC
rnacentral:rRNA from 1 species